GCAAGAUCCAAUCACCUCCCACCAGGCCCCUCCCUCCAAUUCGACGUUGGAGAUUUGGGCGGGAACACAAAUCCAAACCGUUUCAGCUUUAAUUUUUAAAACAAUGUAUUUUGGGGGGCCCACAUCUUGACAGAUGCCUGCAAGUGAAUUGAACAAGAUUACGUUUGGCGACAUGACUGUUGAGAAUAUUAACACCAUGUAGUGCUGUUGAUGGAGGGAGAUGAUUUUUUAAAAGUCUUGCAGGACACCUGGGCAAUGUCCAGAAUGAAUGCGCUUCAGUGAACCAUUCUAAUGGCAACCCUAGUUUGGCAAAAUGAACAAAGGACCGUGAAGGGGACAGAAAGCCAGUAAUUCCUGGAUCCUUUCAUGGAAAAGGGCCUUUGGAAUUUUAAAAGUGACAUAUCAGGCCAGGCACAGUGGCUCACACCUGUAAUCCCAGCACUUUGUGAGGCUGA